rnacentral:rRNA from 1 species
UACGUAGGGUGCGAGCGUUGUCCGGAAUUAUUGGGCGUAAAGAGCUUGUAGGCGGUUUGUCGCGUCUGCUGUGAAAAUCCGGGGCUCAACCCCGGACUUGCAGUGGGUACGGGCAGACUAGAGUGUGGUAGGGGAGAUCGGAAUUCCUGGUGUAGCGGUGAAAUGCGCAGAUAUCAGGAGGAACACCGGUGGCGAAGGCGGAUCUCUGGGCCAUUACUGACGCUGAGGAGCGAAAGCGUGGGGAGCGAACAGG